CCUUGCUCGAGCAACACCAAGCUCCUGCCUGCCUCUGCAGUACCCGGCUGGCUGGAGCAGACGGCAUCACACUCGGCCUCCGCUCUCCUCGCCUCGAUCAUCCUGCCUCUCCUCAAACACUGAGACAUCUUCUGUAACCUGCACAGGUACCCAGCACCUGGAAGGAGAGACUGCGCAGUGUUUCAAGAGUUUUCCUUAAUCCUACGUGGGAAUACGUGAAGGCUCAAACUGCUGUAGACCAGAUGCACCCAGCAAAGGAAGACAGCAGGAGAGGAGAAUACAGCCACGUCCAGUCUACGGACACCAGCGCGUCCCGUCGUGCAGGGGCUUUGCCUUGCCCACUACGGCUCCCGAAGGCUUUGCUGUCAGCGCUCGGCAGCCUUUCUGCCGAGCUCCUCGGCGUGUUGUUGCGAUGCCCUCCUGACCCUCCGGACUGGAGGUCGUGACACAGGUAGCUCACGCUCAGCCACACGGUCACCCCAGGCAAAUGAGAUCUGCUUUGUUCAAGUGUUGUCAUCUACUGCGUAACAGACAGGUUUCCAGUCUGAGUAACUACUUUUGAAAUGAAAACAAAGGUCCGAGCGAACGUAGGGCUCAGACGGUCGGGCUGGCUGGCUGUUUCGGUGACCAGCGGGGAGAGCUGUGACGGGAGCACGCCGGAGACCACUGCACGAUCCGUCCGAGUCAAAGGAUUCGGAAGUAAAUCUCCCCCGGCCCGGGGGUCUGAUACAGCAGAUCGCUUGUGUUGAUAAUCAUAACAGCUUUUUAUGGCAAAAAGAGGAGAAAUGCUGUAUUGCAUGUUAAUUAGGCUUAUAAAACAUUAAAACGAUUUUUUUUUAAUUGAGAAACCUAAUCAGACCAUCUUGGUCUGAUUUUGUCUUUCAGUAAAAGACAGAUAAAACCUGGUGAUGGAUAAAUUAUAUAUACUUA